rnacentral:lncRNA from 1 species
UAGUAGAAGUAUUUUCUAUAAAGAUAUAAGGUGAAAGAAAAAGGGUUAAUGGAUUACAUGUCCCUGCAAACAUAGUGAAUUACAGAUAUAUUCCUGUAAAGUUCAACUUUCGUAAGUUAUUCCUACAAAAGUCCUAAUGCAUUCAGAUACGUCCUUCUGGUUAGGAUCCGUUAGAGAACUGUUAAUAUUUUAACAAUAGAGUUGUAAAAUGAUAAUUUUGCUCUUGCCCUCUUCCUCUUCCUUCUCUUUCUCUUCAGGCUACAGGGGCAGACGACGGCGGCGGCGGCGACGGCGACCUUGCGGAGCUUGUUGGGGUUGCGGCCAAUGAGGACGAGGAAGAAGCGGAAGGCGAAAACGCAGCCGAUGCCAUCGGAGGCGCUUGUGACGACGGCCCAUGCGGGCACCACGACGGCGACGACGAUCAGAUCAUCGACGAUGACGACAACGAAGAAGAAGAAGAAGGAGGAGGAGGAGGAAAGGAGGAAAAUGAGGAUAUGGAGAAGAAGAGAGAGAAGGAGUAGAAGAGGAAGAGGAAGAAGAAGGAGGGUAAAAUUAUCAAUUCACAUUAUUAAUUAACCAUGGUUAAGUAUUUUAAUUGUGGUUAACGAAAUUUCUCUAACGGAUCCUAACGGUAGAGACAUAUCUGAAUACAUUAGAACUUUUGCAGAAAUGACUUAUGAAAGUUGAGUUUUGUAGGGAUAUAUAUGCAAUUCACUAUGUUUACAGGGAAGCGUAUGCAAUUAACCCAAAAAAAAAAUAUUACUGUUUGGUAUUGUAUUAAUACUUGUAUUCAAUGUAAAAAAAAAAGGGAUAUUAGACUUGUAAUCAAUAGAAAAAAUAGGUCAUUAAACUUAUUAUCGGAUCAUUAGCGCUAACCAUUAAUUCUAAAAGUUUGAGCGGUUAGAAAUAUGUAAUUAAUUUACUUAAAGUGUACAGAUGUAGUGUUCACGGGUCUUGAUUGUGACUGAGCCCAUCCAGCCUUAUUCAAAUAUGGCUCGGCCCACUUGGCCUCCUGCCGCAGGGCAGAAUGCUGGUUCAUUUAAGCCAACAAUUUUUUCUUCAGCACCUACACAAAUUCGCAACAUGUGGAAAACCCGUGACCUCUAUCUUUAAUACUAUUUGUCGGAUUGUUGGCGCUAACUAUUAAUACUAAAAGCUAAACUUGUUAAAAAUACGCAACCAAUUCACUUAAAACGUACGAAUACAACGCCUGCGGAUAUCGAUUGUCACUCGGUCCAUCCAACUUUACGUCACUUUGAACAUGACUCAGCCCAAACUAAUGUCAUGCCAUUUCAAAUGUGACUCGGCCUAUUCGGCCUCUCGCUACAUGAUAGAAUAUUGACUCAUUUAAGCCAACACUUAUAUUCAGUAGAAAAAAAAAA